rnacentral:ncRNA from 1 species
ACGAGAGGACCGGGGGAAGAGGACACGCACCUCUCUCUGGUUGUACCAGUUAUCGUGCCUACGGUAAACCCUGGGUAGCCAAGUGCGGAGAGGAUAACUGCUGAAAGCAUAUAAGUAGUAAGCCCACCCCAAGAUGAGUGCUC